rnacentral:tRNA from 1 species
UGGCUCAGUGGUCAAGAGCACUUAACUGCUUUUGAAGAAGACCUGGGUUCAAUUCCCAG